ensembl:lncRNA
GUGGUCAUCAGUAAGUGUGGAGCCAAACGACAACAACAUUCUCAGAGGGCGGAGCCAGAGAGCAGUGAUUGGUCAGACCAAAGAUAAUAUAGAAGACAGCGCUAGCGUAUCCAGUCUGUAUGUAUCUAUGGUCUGCACGUCUGGUAGCAUCUGUGGCUGCUGUUGAUCUUGUUUUUGGAGUAAAACACGGUGGAAGCUGAAUUAGUGAGGAUGACUCCUGCUCCUGUCAUCUCUAAGCUCCUCCCACAUCUUUACCUGCACAUGAGGAAAAUCACUCCUGUAGAAUGCAGAUGUUCAGAGGGAGAUGAUGCCACAUCUGGUCCAGCCGAUGGAAGGUCUUGAAGUUCUCUGACUGGCCUCGACUGAAGAUGGUCGUCUCACUGGAUUUAAGGUUCAGAUGCUCAGUAACAAACUCCACCAAUGAGCCAACAGGGAAGCUUUAGGUUUAUUAAAUGUUGCUAUGAAGGUUUCGCUGUUUUUCUUUGUGAAUGCAAUGUGCUCCAACUGAAAGUUGAAUUAGAACUUAGAAGUAAAUCCUUCCAUCUGAAAGGAUUUAGUUGCAUUAAUAACCUCAUAACAUUCUAAUUUUUAUUCCAGUCUUGGUUGGAAAUAGAAUCUCUGUAUUGAUUCAGGUAAAAACUGAACUUCACAGCAUGUUGGAGCAAAACAAUCAGAUGAAAACUGUGAUGGUGUUGGAUUGUCAGACCGUAAUGUUGCAGCUCAAAGCAGCUUUUCUAGCUCAGUUCAUUCUGACAUUCAGCUAUGAAUCAACACAGUAGAUGGUGAUCCAUGCUGUGGAAGUCUCACAUCUCCUGAUUUAAUGGAGCUGCUUUGCACUUUUUACACUGUUUAUUCACCAACACUUUAUUUAAUAAAAGUCCCAUCUAGUUUUUAUGAGGAAUGUGAUGUUUUAAUUUCUCUGUGAAUAACUGCAGUCUAAUGCAACAGCUGGAAUUGUAACAUCUGUCCUGAUAUUGAUCAUGAAGUAUUGAUCAGACUACUUAUGGUUAGCAGUCAUCCCUGAAGUUUUACAUUAAAAUCUUUACUUGUGUUGUGAACUUUGGUAAGAAGCAGAAACGUUAGCGUUGCCAUGGAUAUAUGAGUGUUAAAUUCUGUCCAUGUUUCCAUUUCGGGAAAUUCAGUCCAGUUCCAGAAUGUGGAGGAAUUUAGUCUCACAAUCACAGACAACAAAUAUUAUCUGAAAGUCGGGUUAUUGUUGUUUAUCAGCACAAUACAAAAAGAUUAAUGUUAGAAAUAUUCCAGUUAAGACUCUAGAAUGUCAUGAUUCAUGUAAAUUUACCUCAAUAAUAUGAAUGUUCAGGUUAAGAUUGUACAGUGAUAUUUAUUAUGCAAGUUUAGCUGAUUAACGUUUAUGACUCUGCACUAAAAUAUUAUUUAAAUUGACAUCAUUAUUAUAAUAUUUAGGGUCAGACCCUACAGUAUUGAGAUUAAAAAAUCAAAUAUUCUAUAAAAUGUAAAUACACUGAAUUCAUUUGGAUAUAUUUAAGUGAGACUCUACAAUAUUAUUUGACACAAAUCUAUCUAAAUCAAAAUUUUAAUCAUUUUUACUUCAAACAUUUACUGAACUGAUUUAAAUAUUAAAAUCACUCCUUUCUAAUCCUCUGCUGUACGUUCAAACCUGAGGCCUUAAAUAGAAACACACAAGUAUCUGAUUGAAGGAACUUCUGCAGAGUCCUGGUUCCAGAACAUGAUGAUAGAAUUAUAGACAAACUUUAACAAAAGCUGCCUGAGAGUUUACAGGUUUUUAUGUUAAAUUUCUUCAGUAAUUUAAUGAGAGUUAUCAGCAAAAAAUCAAGUGUUCAUUUGAUGAACUUCAUUUCCUAAAACAUCCAGAAUUGGAGCUCAUAUCUUUGGCAGCUGUAAAGUUUCUGCUCCUUCAAAGUUCACAACACAAUGAAUGAAUUCCUAAAACACUCUCAAUGCUGGAGAGCGUUUGUGAUGCUGAAGCAGUGAUCAGUUUUUCUGUUUCUUCUCUGGAGAUGCACGAGGGACGUCUGCAGAGACUGAGAAAGAGUCUCACCACAUCCUGACAUGAGGAAAAAGACUUUAUUAAAGACUACAAUGAGAAAAACUAGCAGACGGCUGCAUUCAAGGUGAGCUCUGAACAUUUGAUCUGGAACAGGAAUUCAAUAACGGCAGCAUGAGCUUCAUUUCAGUCUGUAGCUGCUGAAUUCAUGGAUGAAUCAUCUGGCACUAGAGAAGAAGACCAUCAAACAUCCACAUCAGCUGAUGGAGGUCCAAGAGUCUCACCUAACAACCAACCUACAGAGUGAAGACCUCAAAUCUGAUUGGACGGCCUCCCAUUCAGUCACAUGUGUGAACAAAUGCCUCUAAGUUGAUUUGUUUUCUAAAAUAAAUCUAGUUUGAGUCCUAAUCUAUGCCUGUGUGUUUGCUUCUUUACACUGCUGUUAACAGUUUAGGCUGUUAGAUUGUUCCAGAUAAGACAAGUACAAGAUUCUUCAGAGCCAUUCUACCACGAGCCUGAGAGGAAGAACUCCAACAGCUACUGAAUGUUCCUGUGGUUCCCUCAAGGCUACAGGAGGAGCCCUACGAGGACGAGCUGAUCCACCUGAUGGAGGCCAGUCGCUGUGGUUCAAAGCCAACACCGUCUACGUGGACUUUUACUGGACCACACGGAGGCCUUCAAACCGGACCAACAAGUUCAGCGACUCCCCGACUCGUGGGUCUGAGGACGCCACCAAGCCUCGGUCCAGCCGGCCUCCUGUCUGUGGGUGUUUGAGUGCUGAGAGGAUUACCACAGACCUGACCGUGAACACCGUUGACACCCACCUGAGGGACACGCUGCCUAAGAUCUCAAGGCUGCUUGGUCAUGGUCUUUCUGGUCCUGCUCCAGAACGCCUUCAUCAACUACGUCUUCUUUUGAAGAGGCCCUCAGAUGCUGCAAUCUCUGACCUUAAGGAGGAACUGCUACUUUCACUCUGUAACGAGACGGCAGUUAUUUUAAAGACCCAGCUCCUGUCGGCUUUGAAUGAAAGUUUAAUACCCAUCAAAACAUAAGUACAGACAGUUAAAUCUGAGCUGUCGGUCAGUAUUUCAAACGUCAAGUCUGACCGGGCUGCACUAAAGCACGCUAUGAGUGAAACGGAAACUUCACUCUCCACAUCACCGACGACAUCGUCACACUCCAAAGCAGAGCACCAAUCUGUUGAAUUUUUAAAAGUGGACUAUAAAUGUGAAGAAUGUGAGCAGCAGCAGACUGUGAGCAGUGGAACAGAUGUGAUCAGAAAGAAGUCAUUUUCUUUUUUAUUUUCUUUCUGGUUGACUUGAUGCUGUCAGAUGGAGCUGAUUCUGAUCUUUGAGGAUAAAAAGCUGUUUUUCCUUCACAGACUUUUCAGGAAAUUAUUCUCUCAGGUUUUCUCUGCUAUUUAUAUUUUUAUUAUCUGUGAUUAUUUCAUUAUUUCUUUAUUGUAAAAAUAAAGUUUGAGGUAUAAAGACUCAUUUAGUUAUUUUAAUCCUGAAAUCUUUGAUGUAGCAGAACUAAACUUCCAUUUUCCUUCUUGUACUUCUGAUACUAGAACUAAACGUAUCUUCAGCACGGAUCAUCUGCUUUUAAUGAAUCAGCAGCAACAUCACAACAACAAAUGAGACAAUUUUCAACAAAUUAAUUAAACUGA